UCUCUUUUUUUAGAAUUUUGUAUCUCCAUUUGUGUUGUUUUGAUUAUCUGGCAUUCGGAUCUGAUGCUGGUUAAUGUUUUGAAUUGAUUUAUUUCGGUUAAAUAUGAUUUUCUUGGUAUCUUGUUCGAAUGGAUCACGUUGGCUAUAAUUGAACUGCAAAUUCAAUCUGAAUUUAGGUUUUUAAUUGAAUUAUAGGACAGAUCCGGUGCUUUUCUCUUUGGUUUGCUAGCAAGUUGUGAAAAAGGAAAGGAAAACUGAAAUUGAGAUUCGAUAUAUAGCAUGGUAAACAAUAAAAAAAAAGUAAUAUCGUUUGGUUAUUGUAAUUAAAUUGUCGGAUGAUUUAGCGAGUGGGAAUUUCCUUUUACAUAUCCCUUACUUGAAGAAUUAAGUCGGAUACUGCUAGGAUUGCUUAGAAUCUCUGGAAUUAUUUUGAUUUCAACGUUACUAAAUUA